UAAUUUCUGCCCUAUGAAUAUUUAAAUGGCUGCAGUAUUUUGACUGUGCAAAGGUAGCAUAAUAAUUAGUCAUUUAAUUGUUGACUGGAAUGAAUGAAUAUAUGAGAUAUAAUUUUUAUUUGAUUUAUUUAUUGAAUUUUAUUUUUUGGUAAGAAAGCUUAAUUGAAUUUUAGGGACGAUAAGACCCUAUAGAACUUUAUUAAUUUUUUAAAAAAGAUGAAUUUAGUUAAUUAAUUUUUUAUUUUAUUUCUAUUAGUUUGGUUGGGGUGACAUGUAAAUUUAACUUUACUUUAUUAUUUCAUUUAUUUAUGUAAUUUUGAUCCAUUUUUUAGAUAACAAGAUUAAGUUACCUUAGGGAUAACAGCGUAAUUUUAGUGGGGAGUUCUUAUUUAUACUAAAGUUUGCGACCUCGAUGUUGAAUUAAGAUAAGCUUAGGGGGUAG
rnacentral:rRNA from 1 species